UGAUUGUCCAAACGCAAUUCUCGAGUCUAUGGCUCCGGCCGAGAGUUGAGUCUGGACGUCCCGA
ensembl:miRNA